CCUACGGGAGGCAGCAGUGAGGAAUAUUGGUCAAUGGGCGCAAGCCUGAACCAGCCAAGUCGCGUGAGGGAUGACGGUCCUAUGGAUUGUAAACCUCUUUUGUCGGGGAGCAAGGCCCGCCACGAGUGGCGGGCAGGAGAUUACCCGAAGAAAAAGCAUCGGCUAACUCCGUGCCAGCAGCCGCGGUAAAACGGAGGAUGCGAGUGUUACCCGGAUUUAUUGGGUUUAAAGGGUGCGUAGGCGGAAGGUUAAGUCAGCGGUCAAAUGUCGGGGCGAAACACCGGCGGGCCGUUGAAACUGGCAGUCUUGAGUGGGCGAGAAGUAUGCGGAAUGCGCGGUGUAGCGGUGAAAUGCAUAGAUAUCGCGCAGAACUCCGAUUGCGAAGGCAGCGUACCGGCGCUAAACUGACGCUGAGGCACGAAAGCGUGGGGAUCGAACAGGAUUAGAUACCCGAGUAGUC
rnacentral:rRNA from 1 species